rnacentral:rRNA from 1 species
AUGAUCAUCAUCUCUAAAUUGGAUAAUUGGACAACAUCAGCAGGAGGACAGCAACAACAACAUUUUCUCAUGCAUUACAGACUAUUGUACCUAAAAGCUUCGAUGAAUUCUCCCAAUUCUACUGUAAGGCGAAAACUGAUAAGAAUUGGGAGCAGCGAGGAGUGGAGGGCGGAGGAGGAGGUGGCCGGCCUGGCAGAGGAAGACGACGACUCUCGUUUUCAGAUCAGGGGUAUUUUUGUACUUUUGCUUGUUUUCACCUGGUCGGAAAAAAACCCCAGCGACAACUAUUUCGGAACGGAGGGAGUAGCACUAAGACGUUGUGUGACCAAAAAUAAUUACUACACAUAUUUUUCAGCAUUUCCAGCAAGUGCGUAG